CACGUAGGGGGCAAGCGUUGUCCGGAUUUAUUGGGCGUAAAGAGCUCGUAGGUGGUUCGAUAAGUCGAGUGUGAAAACUCCAGGCUCAACCUGGAGACGCCACCCGAUACUGUCGUGACUAGAGUCCAGUAGGGGAGCGUGGAAUUCCUGGUGUAGCGGUGAAAUGCGCAGAUAUCAGGAGGAACACCGGUGGCGAAGGCGGGUCUCUGGGCCGAUACUGACGCUGAGGAGCGAAAGCGUGGGGAGCGAACAGG
rnacentral:rRNA from 1 species